ACUCAGGGGCAGUCGUGGGGAGCCGGAGACCUGGACCAGGAGCUCGGUUUGCCAGAGCCCAUUGUACUCACGCUGGGGGUCUGAAGACCUUCUUUUACUGGUUCUGUUUAUCAGCCACACUUUAGUUGACCUUUGGACUUGUUAAACAAGUGGCCUGCAACCUAGGCGCGGGGGCUUUUCCACUGGCGCCAGGCUCUGCUUCAGCCCAGAAAGAAGAAACUGAGCUUCGGGGGUUUCAGGACAACCUCGGUGCCCGGGGCCAGAGACGCUCUCUGCAAAUGCAAGGUCAUUGUGGCAGCAUGCCAAGUAGAGAAGGCACCCACAAGCCACUGAAAGAAGUUUUUUUCCACCCAGGCCUGGCCAGGAAGGAAGCCAACGGCCUUUCAUUAUUACAGGAGUUUCUGCCACAUCUCCCUGAAAGGCUGAGGGGGAAAAGAGGGCCAAAGUAAAGGCUCCCAAAUCUACAGGCUUGGACCUGACUUGCAGAAGAACAGGGGAGGGGCUUCUUAUAAUCCCACCUACCCUGGGAGCUUCAGUUUCCUGUCUGUGAAAAGGGAUACCUAUUGGUAUCCUGCUAAGGUGCAGGGCAACUGUGCCAUUGAAUGAGACCACCUGUGUAAACCCUUGGUCUAACAAUGGUGCUCACACUUUCCUGACUGGGAAGGCAGGAGGCCUGUUCCCAGUAGUAAAAUCUAGCCCUUCUGGAAGCUUAGAGUUCUCAGAAUCAGGGACUUGCAGUGCUGGGUUUGGAGCAGCAAGGACAUUAGGGACAAAAAUUCAGAAUCAGCAGGAAAUUUGCAAAGAAACUUCUAAAUACAGUCUCCUACCUCUCCCUCCUUUGAGACAAGUAGGAGGAAAUUAGGCUUGGGCUAGGGAUAGAGAAGAAUUUCAGGAUGAGGGGAAGGGUCUACCCGCUUUCAUCUGCUAGGUACAGGCUCAGAUCUGGGAAGGCUGGUGAUGUGAGUGACCAAGGACAAGCUAUUAGGGAGCUAGGAUGCCACUUUCGAAUACAGGCUGGGCUACGGGUGCUUGGGUUUCUGUACUGGGAGUCAGAAAGAAGAGAAAAGCUUGUAUACAUGGAACCCCGAAGAAGGUUUAUCCCUAUCUCUGACCUUUCUCUGAGAAAAGGGGUAAGAAAUUUAUAGACAUCAGGGCCUUUCAUGUCAUCUCCUUGUCUUCUAGUUUGUUGUGACAUAUGGCAUAUUCUUGAAAUUCUUUCCACCCAGUAAAACUUUCUCUGCCUCCCCAACUCCCUUUAAGCGGGAUAAUGAAGUGGUCAAAGUCAAUGUCCCUGGAGAGCAAUCGUUUUUUUCUGUUUGUUACAAUCAUGACAGAAUCAUCAAGUUUUUGUGUUAACCUGGGAAACCCCAUUGAAAAGCCAGUCAUCACUUCCCUCUGACAGCACAGCUUUGUAUUUCCAACUGCUGUGUGCGCCAUCAGACUGCCAGCCAGGCCUCCUUCUCUCUCAAAAUUCAGGUGCCUGCAAACCCGAACCCCAGUCACCUUAGCUGGAUGCACAGGAAGUUGCACACAGAGUACAGGGAGAACUUCCUCUGAGUGUCCAGGUCUGUCUUCCAGGUAAUCUGGCUACUCAUAUCUAGCAACUUCCCGCAGUCCUCUUGCCCACACCCACCUUGUAUAUGCCCCUUGGUGCAGUGUAGGUGCUCACCAAGGCAUCACGUCUAGAGAUCUGUAAAGAUUCAAUACCUAUUCCUUCCUAUGGAGAUUUAAAAAGAAAAGUAUAAAUAGGACAGCAAAUAGUUCUUCAGGAUUCAGGUUGUAGAUGCUAAUUAAAUGAGCUAUCUCCUGAAAUCCUUCAGUGAAACUUCCCUCCUAUAGAGGAAGACACAGUAUGAUUUGAAUAAUCUCUGCUUAUGUUUCACAUGGUAUAAUGUAGUGAUAGACUCAGAUAGUGACUCCAAAAUAAGACAUGGGAGAGUCUAAGGAGGUUGCUUGUAGCCACUGGAGUAAGUUAGUGGAAGGGCUGGGACUGGGGCUCAGGACUUCAGUGCAGGACUUUAGGGUGAAAGAGGAGGGUCUAUGGCUUUCACUGUUUUGGGAGAAGGAAAGUUGAAAGGGAGAUUCUAUGGGAGUGAGGUGGAGGAUACACAGAAAGAACUUUGGAGUCAAAGAUACCUACACAUGCAAAAGGAUAAUGAUUCUGUAAUAAGUUUUUCAAUAUGCCUUUAUUUUAUUUAUUUAUUUAUAUGUGGUGCUGAGGAUUGAACCCAGCACCUCGCACUGCUGAGCCACAACCCCAGCCCUGUGUUGUGUUUUUUUAAAGAUGAAAUGAAUUAACAACUGCAUGCUCCUGGAUUAUGGCAGGCUUUCACAUAUUCAGAAAAAAGAGAUAUACCAUGAAAAUAUGCUUAAGUGAGGCAACUGACCUCUUUGGUUCCAGAUUUCUUUCUUUUUUUCUUUUUGUUUGUUUUUUGGUACCAGGGAUUGAACCCAGAGAUGAUUAACUUCUGAGCCACAUCCCCAUCCCUUUUUAAUUUUUAUUUUGAGACAGGGUCUUGCUUGCUUGCUUGCUUAGGGCUUUGCUAAGUUUCUGAGGCUGGCCUUGAACUUGCAAUCAUCCUGUCUCAGCCUUCCAAGUUUCUGGGAUUUCAGCACGGUGUGCCACUGUGCCAGGCCUCCCAGAUUGUUUUCUUAAGAGUUACCAAAUUUAGAGGAACCAUAUUAGGUUCUUUUACCAAAUAAUAAAUUUGUAGUUCAAAUCCCAAGGUUUUCUAUGGGAGAUGGAAUUCCUAGAGUAAAAUCAUUUAAAAUCUAGUUAGUGGGUUAUUCUGUGAAAUUUUUGACUAAAUGAACAGAUGAUUGUCUCUGAAUGAUCCUGCUAAGGAUGACUUUUGUUCCUUAUUUAUUCAGAUUUUCCCAACUGUCAGCAAGGAAACUAUAGUCUAAAAAUAACUUUCCCAGACACAAAAGUGUCUAUGCUACGUGAUUCCAUUUAUAUGAAUUUAAAAAGUAGGAACAUUAACCCAUAGAGGUAGAAGUUUCUGGGGUGGUAAAAGAUUCUGUGUGUGUGUGUGUGUUAAUAUUUAUUUUUUAGUUUUUUUGGGUGGACACAACAUCUCUAUUUGUAUGUGGUGCUGAGGAUGGAAUCCAGUGCCUCACGUGUGCUAGGCGAGUGCUCUACCACUUGAGCCACAACCCCAGCCCAAGAUUCUGUGUUUUGAUCAGGAUAGUGGAUACAUCAUCAGGUUACACCUGCAGGAUUUGUGCAUAUUGCCAUUAUGUAUGUUUGCAAUAUGUAAAUUAUAAUUCAGUAAAAAAAUAAAGCCAAUUUCAAAGUAUAAAAUGUAAA